AACGAACGCUGGCGGCAUGCCUAACACAUGCAAGUCGAACGAACCCUUCGGGGUUAGUGGCGCACGGGUGCGUAACGCGUGGGAAUCUGCCCUUAGGUUCGGAAUAACUCAGAGAAAUUUGAGCUAAUACCGGAUGAUGACGUAAGUCCAAAGAUUUAUACACCUGAGGAUGAGCCCGCGUAGGAUUAGCUAGUUGGUGUGGUAAAGGCGCACCAAGGCGACGAUCCUUAGCUGGUCUGAGAGGAUGAUCAGCCACACUGGGCCUGAGACACGGCCCAGACUCCUACGGGAGGCAGCAGUGGGGAAUAUUGGACAAUGGGCGAAAGCCUGAUCCAGCAAUGCCGCGUGAGUGAUGAAGGCCUUAGGGUUGUAAAGCUCUUUUACCCGGGAUGAUAAUGACAGUACCGGGAGAAUAAGCUCCGGCUAACUCCGUGCCAGCAGCCGCCGUAA
rnacentral:rRNA from 1 species